rnacentral:lncRNA from 1 species
UGCACAAGAUUCCAUGGUGAUCUCAGGUCUAAGGAUCACUUGCAUAACUCCUAUUUAAAGAACCAUCUUUGACAUGUAAGUAAGGCUUCCAUAAGAUGUUCUCUUUCAUUGAGUCAAUUCAGUGGACUCAUUUUUCAAAUAAGCACCAACAUCUUUGUAUUAAUGUCCCACACAAGUGGCUAGUGAGAUUUGCCACCCUCUC